rfam:Triticum aestivum genome assembly, contig: Triticum_aestivum_CS42_TGACv1_scaffold_572046_7AS
UCAUUCGGAUUCGCCAUCAUACGUCCAACCGUGCAUUUGAUAUGCAUAUAUAUGCAUCAUGAGCCACGGUUGGGCUGUAUGAUGGCGAUACCGAUUGG